GAAAAGAACCCCGGGAGGGGAGUGAAAUAGAACCUGAAACCCUGCACUUACAAGCUGUGGAAGCACAUUUCUUGUGUGACCGCGUACUUUUUGUAGAACGGGCCAACGAGUUACGUUAAGUAGCAAGGUUAAGCACUUAAGGUGCGGAGCCGUAGCGAAAGCGAGUUUUAACUGAGCGUUCAGUUACUUGACGUAGACCCGAAACCGGGCGACCUACCCAUGAGCAGGAUGAAGCGAAAGUAAAAUUUCGUGGAGGUCCGAACCCACGAGCGUUGAAAAGCUCGGGGAUGACUUGUGGGUAGCGGUGAAAUUCCAAUCGAGCCCGGAGAUAGCUGGUUCUCCCCGAAAUAGCUUUAGGGCUAGCCUCAAGGUGAGAGAUACGGAGGUAGAGCACUGAAUGUCCUAGGGGGUAUUGCACCUACCGAAGACUAUCAAACUCCGAAUGCCGUCAUCUUAUACUUGGGAGUCAGACUGUGGGUGAUAAGAUUCAUAGUCGAAAGGGCAACAGCCCAGAUCGUCAGCUAAGGUCCCUAAAUGUAAGUUAAGUGGUAAAGGAUGUGGGAUUGCACAGACAACCAGGAUGUUGGCUUAGAAGCAGCCACUCAUUCAAAGAGUGCGUAAUAGCUCACUGGUCGAGUGAUCCUGCGCCGAAGAUUUCCGGGGCUAAAACUUACUACCGAAGCUACGGCAUCAGUAAUGAUGGGUAGGGGAGCUUCCCAUACGGGUUGAAGCAUGACCGUAAGGACAUGUGGACAGUAUGGGAGUGAGAAUGUUGGCAUGAGUAGCGAGAUGUGGGUGAGAAUCCCACAGGCCGUAAACCCAAGGUUUCCAGGGGAAGGUUCGUCCGCCCUGGGUUAGUCGGGACCUAAGCUGAGGCCGAAAGGCGUAGGUGAUGGACAACAGGUUGAUAUUCCUGUACUACCGAUAACCGUUUGAGAGAAGGGAUGACACAGUAGGAUAAGCUAAGCACACUGUUGGUUAUGUGUGCCCAAGCAUUGAGGCAGUCAAAGUAGGCAAAUCCGCUUUGAUAAUGCUGGGAUGUGAUGGGGAGCGAAAUUUAGUAGCGAAGUAGCUGAUUUCACACUGUCAAGAAAAGUCUCUAUCGAGGUUAAAGGUACCCGUACCGCAAACCGACACAGGUGGGUGAGGAGAGUAUCCUAAGGCCAGCGAGAGAACUGUUGUUAAGGAACUCGGCAAAAUGACCCCGUAACUUAGGGAUAAGGGGUGCCACCAUCAGGUGGCCGCAGAGAAUAGGCCCAAGCGACUGUUUACCAAAAACAUAGGUUUCUGCUAAGUCGCAAGACGAUGUAUAGGAGCUGACGCCUGCCCGGUGCUGGAAGGUUAAGGGGAUCUGUUAGAGCAAUCGAAGCAGUGAACUUAAGCCCCAGUAAACGGCGGCCGUAACUAUAACGGUCCUAAGGUAGCGAAAUUCCUUGUCGGGUAAGUUCCGACCCGCACGAAAGGCGUAACGAUUUGGGCACUGUCUCAACAACAGACUCGGUGAAAUUGUAAUUCCGGUGAAGAUGCCGGAUACCUGCGACAGGACGGAAAGACCCCAUGGAGCUUUACUGUAGCUUGACAUUGGGUCUUGGUACUACAUGUACAGGAUAGGUGGGAGGCUUUGAAACCAGGACGCCAGUUUUGGCGGAGCCAUCCUUGGGAUACC
rnacentral:rRNA from 1 species